rnacentral:rRNA from 1 species
GACGAACGCUGGCGGCGUGCCUAAUACAUGCAAGUCGAACGGAGCGGCGGACGGUUGAGUAAUGCCUAGGAAUCUGCCUGGUAGUGGGGGAUAACGUCCGGAAACGGGCGCUAAUACCGCAUCCUAUCAGAUGAGCCUAGGUCUGAUUGGCUAGUUGGUGGGUUAAAGGCCUACCAAGGCGACGAUCCGUAACUGGUCUGAGAGGAUGAUCAGUCCCACUGGAACUGAGACACGGUCCAGACUCCUACGGGAGGCAGCAGUGGGGAAUAUUGGACAAUGGGCGAAAGCCUGAUCCAGCCAUGCCGCGUGUGUGAAGAAGGUCUUCGGAUUGUAAAGCACUUUAAGUUGGGAGGCGUUACCAACAGAAUAAGCACCGGCUAACUUCGUGCCAGCCGCCGCGGUAAUAC